rnacentral:lncRNA from 1 species
AGUCGGAGUCAAGCAGAGCUGAAGAAAUUUAUUCACAAAGAAAAUAUUCCAGUAACGUUCCUGGUUGAUGUUUAACACGCAGCUUAUACCAGUCUCUUGUUGUAGAUUGACAACAAGCUGCUUUUUCUAGAAGGAGGAUUGCUUGGGAAACCUUCAGAUGAAAAUGAAAAGAAAACGUCACCAUGGCCAGAGGAGGAGGAAGCGACAGCAACAACAACGGCGUCGACAGCAGCAGCAGGAACGACAGGAGCAGCAACAAGAGCAGCAGCGGCUGCGGCAGCAGCAGCAGCAGGAGCAGGAGCAGCAGCAGCAGCAGCAGGGGCAACAGCGGCAGCAGCAGCAGGGGCAGCAGCGGCAGCAGCAGCAGCAGCAGCAGCAGCAGCAGCAGCAGCAGUGCCAGCAGCAGCAGCAGCAGCAGUGCCAGCAGCAGCAGCAGCAGCAGCAGCAGUGCCAGCAGCAGCAGCAGCAGCAGUGCCAGCAGUGCCAGCAACUGCAGCAGCAGCAGCAGGAGCAGCAGCAGCAGCAACGUAGGAGGAGAAACAACAGGAGGAGCAGGAGGAGCAGGAAGAGUAAGAAGAGCAAGAGGAACAGGAAGACCAGAAACACCAGGAGGAGGAGGAGAAGAAAUAAUGAGUGAUUGUGUCUACGUUUACGGGAAGAGUUUGAUGUGGUAGAAAUGUUGCUUCUUUGGAGAAAUUUGUACUCAAAGAAUUACUCAUGUAGAUAUUCCUCUCUCCCUGCCAAUAAAAUUUCAUCCACCUUUGGUUGUGUACAAGGAAGCUAUUGUGUGUCCAAAGAGUCCUCAGGAAGAGAGGCAUGGAUACUCUUCAGCAAAGAUGUAACACAACAGGCAAGGAGACGGAUCCCAGAGAGACUGCUGGAAUAAAUUUGGAGUUGAGUGAGAAAAAAGAUGGUAGGCUUACACCUUUGGCAUUUACAUCUAACAUAUUUGUCGGAGUCAAGCAGAGCUAAAGAAAUUUAUUCACACAGAAAAUAUUCCAGUAAUGUUCCUGGUUGAUGUUUAGCUCUCAGCUUGUACGAGGCUCUUGCUGUAGAUUGACAACAAGCUGCUUUUACUAGAAGGAGGCUUGCUCCGGAAGCCUUCAGAUGAAAA